rnacentral:rRNA from 1 species
GAUCAUGGCUCAGGAUGAACGCUAGCUACAGGCUUAACACAUGCAAGUCGAGGGGCGGCAUGACCUAGCAAUAGGUUGAUGGCGACCGGCGCACGGGUGAGUAACACGUAUCCAACCUACCGGUUAUUCCGGGAUAGCCUUUCGAAAGAAAGAUUAAUACCGGAUAGUAUAACGAGAAGGCAUCUUUUUUGUUUAUUAAAGUAAUUUCGUAUAACCGAGUGGGGAGUGCGUUCCUAUUAGUUUGUUGGUCGGGGUAACGGGCCCACCAA